CAAUAUGCGUCGUGGGUUAUACGCGUUCAAAUGAUUAUGGCGUAACUAUGCAAAGUAAAUAUUUAUUUUCACUAUUAAUCACUAGGCAUAUUUAUAUUAAAAAAAAAAACAGCUGUUUAAAGGCCAUCUAUUAGUACAAAAAUAUUUAAAAGUUAAAGAAGUGUUAA